UCGAGCGGCAGCGCGGGGGCAACCCUGGGCGGCGAGCGGCGAACGGGUGAGUAAUGCAUCGGAACGUGUCCUCUUGUGGGGGAUAACCAGUCGAAAGAUUGGCUAAUACCGCAUGAGAUCGAGAGAUGAAAGCAGGGAACCGCAAGGCCUCGCGCGAGAGGAGCGGCCGAUGCCGGAUUAGCUAAUUGGUGGGGUAAAAGCCUACCAAGGCGACGAUCCGUAGCUGGUCUGAGAGGACGACCAGCCACACUGGGACUGAGACACGGCCCAGACUCCUACGGGAGGCAGCAGUGGGGAAUUUUGGACAAUGGGGGCAACCCUGAUCCAGCCAUGCCGCGUGUGUGAAGAAGGCCUUCGGGUUGUAAAGCACUUUCGGACGGAACGAAAUCGCGCGAUCUAAUAAGUCGCGUGGAUGACGGUACCGUAAGAAGAAGCACCGGCUAACUACGUGCCAGCAGCCGCGGUAAUACGUAGGGUGCGAGCGUUA
rnacentral:rRNA from 1 species